GAUGAAGAACGUAGCGAAAUGCGAUAAGUAAUGUGAAUUGCAGAAUUCAGUGAAUCAUCGAAUCUUUGAACGCACAUUGCGCCCGCCAGUAUUCCGGCGGGCAUGCCUGUUCGAGCGUCAUUACAACCCUCAGGCCCCCGGGCCUGGCGUUGGGGAUCGGCGGAAGCCCCCUGCGGGCACAACGCCGUCCCCCAAAUACAGUGGCGGUCCCGCCGCAGCUUCCAUUGCGUAGUAGCUAACACCUCGCAACUGGAGAGCGGCGCGGCCACGCCGUAAAACACCCAACUUCUGAAUGUUGACCUCGAAUCAGGUAGGAAUACCCGCUGAACUUAAGCAUAUCAAUAAGCGGAGA
rnacentral:misc_RNA from 1 species